AGCAGGAGGGCAGCGAGAACAGGGGCGGCAGAGGAUCGGUGUGGCAGGCGAGCGGCAUGAUCCCCAGGUCGGGAGCACCCGGUCGGCAAUUGGCUCGGCCGUAGUCUUCGCGCAAGUUCCUGCAGAAAAAAAAAAAAGAGAGCAAAAAGGGAAGAAACGGGAAGAAAAGAGGAGGCAAGGCAGAGGAUCGGCAUGGCAGGGCUUUCGGCGCGAUCCGCGGGUCGGGGAAGCAGACCGAUCGACCAGCCGGCACGGCAGGAGGUCUUCGCUCGGAAUGCCUGCAGAAAAAGGAAAGACAGAAGUAUAAGACCGAAGGAGGGCAGCAGAGAGCAGGGCGGACCGGAAUCGAGAGGAAAACAGCAACCCAAAAAAAAAACCAGCAGGGAGCGAGCUUGAGAGAAGGAGACGAUUAGGGAGAAAGCUAGAAGCUAUUUGGGUGGAGUGUUGCUCGCCCCUCCUCGAGGCCAAUUGCUGACUUCUAGCCGACGCCCUCGAGAGCAAGACUUUUGGUUCCCAAAUCUCGGCAUUUUCCCGCCCAUCUUUUGCUUGCUGGGUGGUUCGAAAUGUUAGCUCGAAGGGUUUGGUGGAGUUAGUCCAGUGAUGGUGAUCGGGGAUUGUCGACGAUGCGGAUAUUAUUCUCGUCUGUAUACGAGUUGUUGAAAGUUGGGGCGUUUGAAGUUGAAUAGUUUAGUAUUCUGUGCGUUGGAAAACCCUGGCCGUUAGAUCUCGCUCCGCGUCCUGGGCCGUCUGAUCCAGGGAUUAGAUCCUGUCCGCCCAUCUGCAUUAAGGCUCUGGUAUGUCCUGAGCCGUUGGAUCGAAAAGCUCCCAUUAAAUCCCGUCCGUCCAUUUGAAAAGCUGGGUUUUCUUCUUCACCAGCUCUUCCAUGGGCAUUCCGUCCGCUGCUCCGGUGCAUCUCCGUCGCUGCUUUUGCUGCCAAGACGACGCGAUCUCCGGUCUUCAAGUAUUCCGUGGAAGCAAGGCGUUGGGAUUCUUCUUGGACGGCAAGUUGGUAAAUGCGUCCAAGAGGCGGAAUCGGAUCCAUCGCAAGGAUUUUGGCUUUGGAACGGCAGUAUUCAAAUUGUGGCUGCAGUUCAGUUGCAGAUCACACAAGCAUCUCAUGUAGUCAUGUGAUCCUCAACGUGAGCUGUUCUUGAGUAUUUGGCCCUCUUCAGAGGUAAGUUAGUCAACACCUAGAUCUUAUUGUUCUUUAGCAACUUUUCAUCUAUAACUUCCAUAUUUAAAUACAGAACUACUCUUAGAAAUCAUGUAACGAUAAAAGCUGUGAUGGAACAAUGAACAACUGUGAUGCUACAAUUAGAGGAGUCUUUAAUCAUCUGUCUCCUUGGAAUGAAAUAAUUUAAUUUGCUGGCAAUAAUCUUUAUCAGGAUUUUAUGCUUCUUGGCGACCAAAUGAUAAGUAAAAGACUGUCAAGUAAACUUGUGUUUCAAUCUGCUCCUUCCAAUUCUCACAGUUGUAUGGAAUAGAUUUAGGAAAACAAAGAACAAAACAAGAUUUUUUGGGUUGACUUUGGCAGGCUCUUUGUUUGGCCCAAAAUUAUGCCGUCAUUUCAUUGUGCAUAAUAAAUUUGUUCCUUUUUUUUUUUGUUAGAGACUAGAGACUCUUGUGCUUCAAAGUACUACUUUUAGUGAUUUUGUCCAUUAUG